CCUCCCCCUAUUUUCCCAUCACUCGUUCCUCCCAAAAAAGUACAAUACAAACUUUAAAAAAACCAAAAAAAUUUCAAGUCUAUAAGAAAACGAUGUCAGAGGUUUGAGAUUUUUACUUAGUGAGAUUCACUCACGCACCAGAUUUU
rnacentral:misc_RNA from 1 species